AGGUGGAUUGACCUAAGCCUGAGAACAUUAAGCUUCCCAUCCUUUCCAGAAGCAAAGGUGUAUUCCAACAGUUCAGACCACUUCAGCUAUUCUUGCAUGAAGAAUGUGCUGAAGAUUAUUUCAUCCUGAAUUUUGUUGUGAUCUAGAAACAUGGAGAAAGAACUACAAGAACAACCACGUUUCUUUUCAGUGAUGUCCUUGUGUAACAUGGAGCUUUUAUUUUAACUUGAAAAUUCAUUCAGGCAUGAUUUAGGGUUAUUGAAGUAGUAAGAUCUGCUAGAAGACAAUGGAAGCAAAAAGAAGAAAUUAGAGCAGAAGAAAAUGAGGAACAGAGAAUGUGGAAAAAUUCCAGGAAUGAGAAAGAGACAGAAAACACAGAAGAAAGGCGGUAUAGACAGAAAAGAAAACUGUCUUUAACUAUUAUUGAGCAGUUGCUGCUCCAGACAGAAUCCUAAACACUAUCUUGUAGUGUAUGCAUGAGUGAGCUGCUCUCUGGAUCGUCUGACUCUGCUGUGCUCUGUGAUGUGCUGCAUGUUCAGGGACAACAAUGGGAGUGUGCAACAUUGCUACAUCCACUAAAUUAUAACAUUGUUCUUUGUUUAUGGCCCAGUGGAAAAUUUAAGUGUCUUGUAAAAAGAUGGAACAUAUUCAACAGGAAAUAAUGGAAAUUCUCCCUAAUCCAUGUUUGAUGAUGGAUUAAGCUCUUUCAGAUAAGGAAAGAAAUAUGGGGCUUCCAGCACAGCAAGACGAAUGCUGAACUUAUUGUCCAUUACCAACUCAUGUUCUUGUGAACAUUGCCCACAUCCUCCUCAUUUAUAUUGCUUUCUUUUGCUAUGGCUACCUCAAGCAGUAAAUAAUCAUGUUCCACUACGCAUUUUCUCUGCCCACUACCCAUCUGGGACAAUAAAUAAAAAAAAAAAAACCAACAUAUUUGCUGAGCCAUAAUCUUGACCAAGUUCUUGUUCUUGAUGAUUUGGUUAUUACAAAUGUGUUGUUCUUAUUGAUGCUUGGGGUAAAGUUAUGAAUGCCCUAAAGCUCCUGUCUUCUGGUUUUUCUCUAGGUGCAUAAACAUGCUCAGGAAUGCUAUAAAUAGGGAAGAUAAUUUGUAAGGAAAUUGAAUUUAAGUGUAGUUGAAGCAAAUAGAGGGCAAGCAAGCUAGAAGUUGUGAAUAAAAUGAAAUAAAAAGAGGGAGCUGGCAAGAAAUUGUUAUUUAUUUAUGCAAAUUGCAGUUAAGAUAUUUUCUAAAGUAAGUAGACCUGCUUAUUAUUUUCUGUGACAGAGAUUACAGUUGCUUUUUCCCUUCUGUUCUCUUCUGUUUUUUCUUCUAUUUCUUUUCCUUCUCUUUAUUUUGCCUAGAGUUUUAUCUCCUCGUAGCCUGAGACUUUCAUAUAAUUCUAUUUACCUGUUGUGAAAUAUAUUUGUGUGUUUAUUUAAAAAGUCAAUUCCUUCUGUAACUACAAUAGUAUAGUAAUAAUCUCCUUUAGCUGGAUUUUAAAGUAUUCAUGUAGUCUUGUGAUUUUUUUUUUUAAGCCAGCCUAUAUAGCCAGAUUAUAGCAGAAAUUCUGCUAUAUCUUUCUAUUCUCUGCUGUACUUAUUUCUGUUAGCUGUACUUUGUUUAUCCCUGUAAUUGCAGUCUUCCUCUAAUAACCUCGUUAUUUUGUAGCUUUUUCCUUGUGGUAGUUGUACUCUUCUCUCGAAUUUCUGAAAUGACUGCUUUUUGUCUGAGGAAAUUUGUGUAGAUAUCAUGUUGUCAUAGUUGUCAUAAAGGCAUUACUAAAGG
rnacentral:lncRNA from 7 species